UAGGGAAUCUUCGGCAAUGGACGAAAGUCUGACCGAGCAACGCCGCGUGAGUGAAGAAGGUUUUCGGAUCGUAAAACUCUGUUGGUAGAGAAGAACGUUGGUGAGAGUGGAAAGCUCAUCAAGUGACGGUAACUACCCAGAAAGGGACGGCUAACUACGUGCCAGCAGCCGCGGUAAUACGUAGGUCCCGAGCGUUGUCCGGAUUUAUUGGGCGUAAAGCGAGCGCAGGUGGUUUAUUAAGUCUGGUGUAAAAGGCAGUGGCUCAACCAUUGUAUGCAUUGGAAACUGGUAGACUUGAGUGCAGGAGAGGAGAGUGGAAUUCCAUGUGUAGCGGUGAAAUGCGUAGAUAUAUGGAGGAACACCGGUGGCGAAAGCGGCUCUCUGGCCUGUAACUGACACUGAGGCUCGAAAGCGUGGGGAGCAAACAGGAUUAGAUAGCCCUGGU
rnacentral:rRNA from 1 species